rnacentral:lncRNA from 1 species
CAGAAAGGCAAGAGACCACCUAACUGAGCUUCAAACUGGGGCUGGGAACGCUGCCAUGAAUUGGGCUUGGUCUGUAUGAAGGAAGCCAACUUUUCGACAAUCCUUAGGCUUCUUUUGCCUGUUAGAACUACACCUUGGAUCGUGGCGAAGUCUAUAGAGGUCAGAUUAAGAAGAACCAAAGCAGAAUAAACGUAGAAGCCGGUGCUGAGUUCAUGAGUGAGGACGACCUCUUCCUAUAUGCUUUGCUAUACCCUGCGUUUUGAACAUUAAGAACGAGAUAGCAGGCCCAUAAUGUUUCUUCUUGCUUUAAUCCUAUCAUGGCAACGUUGACUUCCACCUGAUUGCAGAGUGAGCCCAUGGGACAGCCCUCUGAAAUUAUACUGCUUACGACCAUGCUGAGUCUGCAAGGACUUCAUCCAGGCCUUUCCGCCCAAGACCUCAAACAGAUCCAAUCACAAGAAGAGAGAUUUCAGGAAAGAGAAAAUUAUUCCUAUCGUCGGGGUUUUUGAAGAACAUGAAAUGACUGGGAAAAUAAUCAUGUUAAGUGGAAAAAAAAGAAAUCUAUCUGUUGUAAUUUUCAAAUAAUUUUUAAAUAAAUUUGAAAAAUUAAGAGAACUAUAUAUGUAA